UAACAUAAAGUAGCGUUUUUUGACAUUAGUAGCUACAUCAUUUUGACGUCAUGAGUCGACUUCGACUCACAAAUUUGGUCGAUGUUAAAGUUAUCGCUGAGCGUCGCACUUUAGUAGCACAAUACACAUCGUGUUUAAUAGUAAAUAAUUGAAAUCAAGAUGGCUGCUUCUUGUUUUACCGCUGUUUUAAUCUAUGCAGUUUUAGAAGAGGAAUGGGUAGACGUGGAAGAAAUUCAACAUAUGUAUCCACAGAAAGCUGACCCCUUUCUUCUAUCAGAUACAAUCUUUAUAUCUCAAUUCCGAUUAAGCGAGGAAGCUGUAAGACAACUAUGUUUUGAUUUAUUGUUGUAUCUGAAAAGGCAGAGAAGACAUGUAACCUCUAAAGAGGAGGGAAAUAUUAUAAUGAUUAGCAAAUUUAAUUAAAUUCACAAAUUAAUUGUAAAUAUAGC
rnacentral:lncRNA from 1 species